AUGUCCGGUGAACCGAAGUGGGAAGAUAAACAUAAAACGUGGCAGAGAUUAAGAGACUUGUGUGCACAAAGUGAACGUGCAUGGUUAGUACUGGGCGAUUUAAACGAGAUCAUGUACUCUUUUGAGAAAGAGGGAGGUAAUCCUAGACCGGCUAACUAUAUGCAGGCUUUCAGGGAGGCGGCAGAGGAUUGCAACCUACUCCAUUUGGGAUUUGUGGGAGACAAGUUUACAUGGAAAAGAGGAAAGAUUCGAGAAAGGUUGGAUAGAGCGUUGUCUAACGAUAACUGCAAUGUGAAAUUUGAAGGGGCUAUUGUUGAGCACUUAGAUUUUUAUCGGUCUGAUCAUAGGCCUCUACUAGUUACUCUCGAUCCGACAACUUCAGAGAACCCAGUUGGCCCGAAAGUGUUACGUUUUGAAGCAAGAUGGCUGCAAGAUGCAAGGUUCCAGGAAACUGUCAAAGAAGCCUGGACAGAGGUGUUAGAAGGGACAGAGGGAAUUGGUGGAAUCAUUGUUAUUGCUUGA
rnacentral:rRNA from 1 species